UGUGAUUGACUAACAUCAUAAAUAACAAAUAAAUAACAAUUCAAUGUCACAAUAAAUAAAUAAACAUAAUAGAUAUAAUAUAUUCAGGAAAAGCAACACAUUUUUUGAAUGAAAAAAGGUGCAUAGUACAAACUUUGGCUUUGAAUAAUCUUUUAUUAACAGUGAGUUUUCUGUGUCUUUUUUUAUCAUGUUGCUUUUUUGAACUUUGUAUCAAACUGGUGUGUCAAGCCAUUUUCAAAUAAUUUUUACUUUUUGUUCUGGUGGUAUGCUGUUUAAAUUGUCCCUAAUUAGGGGAUGGUUGAGCACUCAUAAACAUGUUUAACCAGCAACAUUCUAUGUGAGCCUGUCCAGAGUCAGGUCCCUGUAAUCCAGUAGUUGACUUUGGUUGCUGUCAGCCAUUUUUUUGUUUGUUUAAUGUUUUCUGUAGUUUUUUUUUUUAUUAUUUCAUUUUUUAUAUUUUGUCAUGUUUGGGCCUUUUAUGGCUUAGUAUACAGUUAGAAUUCAGAUCUUUAUUGAUGGCUGUUUGGUGACAUACAGUUGCUUAAAUGCACAUCAUUUGAACUUUGGUGGAUAGAUGUCUCAUUGGCAAUUCUACACCAUCUCCUUAUUUUAUAUCAAAUGGCUACUCUCAAAGUGUAAUGGCAUAACUUACAGUGUAAGGGUGUUAUAUGAAGAUAAAAAAUAUCUUCUAAAAGCAUUAGACAUUUUAUUCCCACAUAAGGAGUUCAGAAGAAAGGACCACAAAACUCAACUUUCAAAUGAACUAAUUCAUAUUUUUAGAAAUUAUAACUGUAUGUUUUAAAAGAAGAAGUUUACCAUAAGUAUAUAGUGAUCUUUAAUUUAUUUAUUUUUUCUUUCAUUCAAAUGCUUGUAGUCUUCCCAGUUUUUAUCCACAAGUCCUUGUGAUCAAAUGAGACAAUGUCACAAUUAGAAAAUCUUUUUAGAUUCUCCAAUAAAUGAACAUUAAGACAUGUCAACUACUACAUGUAUCAGCUAGAAAAAAUUUAUGUAAGACUUUGACAACAUAUACCAGCACUACCAAGUCUUAUGCAUUUAGCAUAAGACUUAAUGUCACUUACACAUUUUCAUGCUUAUUCUGGAUUUUCAUUGAUCUAUUGUUUUUUCUCUUUGAUCUUUACAAUCUUUGCCAAAUCUUAUGCAUUAACUUCAUGAAAAGUUGACAGAACUGCAUAUACAAGCAUAAAAUUACAUUCAAAAUAUCUAUAAAGAGGGCCACCAAUGUAGGAUUAAAAUGUGCUAGUUUGAGGGCUGUUAUAAGGUCGUGAAGUAUGUCAACUAGAAUAAAUUUGUAAUCUGUAACUUUCUUAGAAAUAAAAUAAUCUUAGGUAUAUAAUGUACAGACAGUGACAACUGCCUAGUGAUUGAGAUAGCUCAUGUUAGUCUUUUGUUCCAGGUAAUUUAAAAUGUUGUUGUCAUACUGAAAGAGUCUAUUUAAUUUAUGACCUUUCAAAUACCAAAACAUAUCAAAUAAAAACAUUUCUAAAAACUAGGAAUAGAAGUAAAAUAUGUAUAAAGUCGUCAUGUAGAUCACAUAUAAAAAGAAUAUAUAUUAUAAAAAUUAAAUACAUCACAGAAUUGAUUUUAAAAUUCAUAAAAAUUAUAGACAAUAUAUAUAUGCAGAUAUAUAUAUUCAUAAAAUAAUUAUUAAAAUAAGUAACAAGUUAACAUUUCCAGUUCAAUCGAUUUCAUCCUUCCAUUGGGACUCUUCAGGAUAACUGAUAUAGCCUCCUUAUGGGCGACAUCUUUAAGGAGGUUUGUGACGUUCCGGCAGAUCCACAGACACCCAUCAAUACUUAAACUUUCAUUCGUGUCAUCCGUCCCAUCCAAAACGAAAUAUACCUUACUGUAUGGCCAGGCGGAUUUGUGCUAUAGUAUCGGAUAAUAACAUUUGAAUUGUACGUUUGAAGGAAUUAAAAGGCUAUUUGACACAACAUUUAUACCCAGAGGGUCUAAUCGAAAGUGGAAUACGAAAAUCAAAACUACUGACACUUCAAGAAUUACGAACCCCGAAAGUAAAAAACAUGGAUGAAAACUUAAAGAAAAUACUGUUUAUACCGUCUAAAUAGAAAACAACAUUCAAACUUAAGAUUGUGUUGGAUAAAAAUCGCAAUUUUCAUAUGUGAGCAUGCAUGUAACAAAUUUCAUUGUAGAGCUGUCAAAUACAGCACAAACAACAUUUUCCAAAAGACCAAAAGAGUGAAAAAAUAUAUUUUUACAAUACGCACUUGACUAACCGUUGCUAAAAGGUAGAACAACUGAUGUUCUUGAACCCUGCUGACUGCCAUUAACGAUCUCCAUAUUAAUUUAAUACCAAGUAGAAAACAAUAAACUUGUUAAAGAUGGUAAACCACAACAUGAGGUGCUAAAUUUUUUCACCAUAUCUGGAUUUCGACAAUUUUCAGUAGUGUUAGGGAUUGAAA
rnacentral:lncRNA from 1 species